CCUACGGGAGGCAGCAGUGGGGAAUCUUCCGCAAUGGACGAAAGUCUGACGGAGCAACGCCGCGUGAGUGAAGAAGGUUUUCGGAUCGUAAAACUCUGUCUUUCGGGAUGAAUGUGUUCUUUGCGAAUAGUGAGGAGCAGUGACGGUACCGAAGGAGGAAGCCACGGCUAACUACGUGCCAGCAGCCGCGGUAAU
rnacentral:rRNA from 1 species